UACGUAGGGGGCAAGCGUUGUCCGGAUUUAUUGGGCGUAAAGAGCGUGUAGGUGGCCAUGUAGGUCCGUUGUGAAAACUCGAGGCUCAACCUCGAGACGCCGAUGGAAACCAUGUGGCUAGAGUCCGGAAGAGGAGAGUGGAAUUCCUGGUGUAGCGGUGAAAUGCGCAGAUAUCAGGAAGAACACCCGUGGCUAAGGCGGCUCUCUAGUACGGUACUGACGCUGAGACGCGAAAGCGUGGGGAGCGAACAGG
rnacentral:rRNA from 1 species